rnacentral:lncRNA from 1 species
UGGAGAUAGACUGCACAAACUUGUCCAGUUGUAACCUAACACUGCUCUGAAGAAAGAGCUGCAAAGAUAAAGACGUGAAGUGUCCUCUUUAUUUGAAAGUGCAGGACAGUCCUGGCAGGGACAAGGCACCAGGAAGGGCAUUUUUAAGGAAUAUGUAAAGAUAAAGGAAGAAAGAAAGACAAGUUGAAGAAAUCUAGUUGAAGAGGGCUGGAGGAGUGGGGUGUUUGGAGAAGGGAGCAGCUGCAGAGACCUGAAGGAGACCUUCAUAUGGAGAGGACGAUAGGAUGACACUCCACUUGUGGGAGCUCCAUUAAAGUGUAAACAAAAAAAGUCCCAGUCAGAUGUCCCAGCUGAGAAGUGAUCUCUCAAGCCAUUCUGACUCACUCAAUGGAGACCCCGUGCCGGAUCAGACACCCUUCCUGCCCACUAGCACAGAUCAGGAGGAGAUCUCGUGCACUUCCUCCACGCAGAAUCCAGCGGUAGCACCGUCUGCUCUGUGCCACAUCCCAGCCCCUCACCCUCAGGCCCCAGCAACAGAGGAGAAGGAGAAACUGCCAGAUGACGACAAGUCCCUGAACUUCCUGGCAAAUGGAACAGCACCACCCAAAAGUGAGGCCACGUCAGAAUUCAUGGUCACUCCCGAAGCUGUGAC